rnacentral:tmRNA from 2 species
GGGGCUGAUUCUGGAUUCGACGGGAUUUGCGAAACCCAAGGUGCAUGCCGAGGGGCGGUUGGCCUCGUAAAAAGCCGCAAAAAAUAGUCGCAAACGACGAAAACUACGCUUUAGCAGCUUAAUAACCUGCUUAGAGCCCUCUCUCCCUAGCCUCCGCUCUUAGGACGGGGAUCAAGAUAGGUCAAACCCAAAAGAGAUCGCGUGGAAGCCCUGCCUGGGGUUGAAGCGUUAAAACUUAAUCAGGCUAGUUUGUUAGUGGCGUGUCCGUCCGCAGCUGGCAAGCGAAUGUAAAGACUGACUAAGCAUGUAGUACCGAGGACGUAGGAAUUUCGGACGCGGGUUCAACUCCCGCCAGCUCCACCA